UUGAAAUUUACGUCCAAAUAGCACUUGAUGAGAUUCUAAGGAAAGAACCAGAAAUUGCCUACUUCAUCUUCUGAGGGGAUGAGAAUCCCUUUGUUUCCCUGGGAGUGACUUCCCUCAGCGAUCUACUUACCUCCCAGGGGUCUGACCACCCCUACCUGUAGCGUGGGCACAAGGCUUUCAACACCUGCUCUGGGCAGAGAAGGGACAUACAUUGAGAUCAUUUGCAAAACCGCCCAUUGCUGGACUUGUCUGGGGACAAUACAGACUUAAACCAAAGAAUCAGGACCUGACUCAGUUCCCCCGACGGCACACGCCGGUGAUGGUCCCAAGGACAUGCUCGUGGUCCUGUGGCCUGGACAGCAACAGUAUCUGUCCCUGUGUGUCAUGUGCCCCUACUGUUCUCUGCAUUUAGACGUGUUGCGUGAGAGACAUCACUAACUGCUGCCCACGCAGAAAGAAGCUUGUGAUCUGAGAGCCACACCAGUCUACACGUAUAAAUGUUGAACUUGAAGAGCUGAUCCAGACGUGGAUUUUAUUCCAACUAGAGAAUCUCCAGGGCAGUCUUGGAUUCUGGAACAAACAGAAGUCUUACUGCCUUGAAAAGGGGAACCGUCAACCUGAGCAUCAGCGCCGAGCCCCGCUGUU
rnacentral:lncRNA from 1 species